rnacentral:rRNA from 1 species
UACGGAGGGAGCUAGCGUUGUUCGGAUAUACUGGGCGUAAAGCGCACGUAGGCGGCGCCGUAAGUCAGGGGUGAAAUCCCAGAGCUCAACUCUGGAACUGCCUUUGAUACUGUCGAUCUGGAGUAUGGAAGAGGUGAGUGGAAUUCCGAGUGUAGAGGUGAAAUUCGUAGAUAUUCGGAGGAACACCAGUGGCGAAGGCGGCUCACUGGUCCAUUACUGACGCUGAGGUGCGAAAGCGUGGGGAGCAAACAGG